GGUGAAUAGAAUCCCUUUCAGUGGUGACGGAUAUCAAUCGUGGUUCUUAGGAACGUUGGGAAUGUGCUCGGUGGAAAGUGGGUCAUGAAUUGAAGUGAGACCACCACAAAGGAACAUCAGCAGAGCUGGAAACAAUUGAGCCUGACUGACAGACGUAUUCCAGCAUGAGGAGGAACCAAGGAGGGGAGAUGAUGACAGAAAGCAGCACGGACAUCUUCAGCUGCAGGGGACAAAAACCCAGAUGAGCAUUCGGAUUUCUACAUUUAAAAAAAUGCACACGGAUAUCCAGCUCCAUGUCUGCUUCUUUCCUUCCUUGUGCUUCUCUUUAGAGGCCUCCUGUUUGUUUAGUAUGCUGGUAAAGAUUUCAGAAUAAAUAUCUUUUUCUUCUGUUCAUCUGUUGGACUUCUUUGUCCGAACUGACCUUCACACAUUUGAGAACCAUAAUGCUCGGAUGCACGGC
ensembl:lncRNA